AACUUGGAUUGUACUGAGAGAGAACAACUUGAGGAGAGGUUAAAAGAAGAGCAUGCUGAAAGGGAAAGAUUGUUGGAAGAGGAGCGAACAUCAAGACCGGAAUUUGAAAAAAAACAUGAUGACAAAGUUUGUAGCAUUGAGCCAGCAGAUGGGAACCCAACAGGUGCCUAAGGAUUGACAAAGAAAAUAGUAACCCAAACUUGCAAAAUACACUUUUAUAGAGAUCUAGUCCUAAUAAGACUCCAGUUCAAGGCCAAUUAUUAUUUCUUCAAAUGCGCUCAUACAAGCUGCAACAAGGAAUUCUCGAAUGUUUAAAGCAAUGGAUCCAAAGAACUAGCUGGCCUGGACUCUAGAUCACGGACCGUUUAGUCUUUGCAAUUAAUUAGGAUGGCUAAAUUAUAUCUGAGUUUCAUUUGAUGGAUAUUUGCUACGAGAAUUAUGAACUUUAUGAAUCUACAUAUUAUACGUAUGGUUUUGAAUAUUGUAAUUGAAUGCAUGUAUUUUUUUUACAGUUGCAAUAUGCUACAACCCACUUUCGGUUGCCACAUGUU